GGGUUGUGAGGUUAAGCGACUAAGCGUACACGGUGGAUGCCCUGGCAGUCAGAGGCGAUGAAGGACGUGCUAAUCUGCGAAAAGCGUCGGUAAGGUGAUAUGAACCGUUAUAACCGGCGAUGUCCGAAUGGGGAAACCCAGUGCAAUUCGUUGCACUAUCGUUAACUGAAUACAUAGGUUAACGAGGCGAACCGGGGAACUGAAACAUCUAAGUACCCCGAGGAAAAGAAAUCAACCGAGAUUCCCCAGUAGCGGCGAGCGAACGGGGAGCAGCCCAGAGUCUGAAUCAGCUUGUGUGUUAGUGGAACGGUCUGGAAAGUCCGACGGUACAGGGUGAUAGUCCCGUACACCAAAAUGCACAGGUUGUGAACUCGAAGAGUAGGGCGGGACACGUGGUAUCCUGUCUGAAUAUGGGGGGACCAUCCUCCAAGGCUAAAUACUCCUGACUGACCGAUAGUGAACCAGUACCGUGAGGGAAAGGCGAAAAGAACCCCGGCGAGGGGAGUGAAAAAGAACCUGAAACCGUGUACGUACAAGCAGUGGGAGCACCUUCGGGUGUGACUGCGUACCUUUUGUAUAAUGGGUCAGCGACUUAUAUUCUGUAGCAAGGUUAACCGUAUAGGGGAGCCGCAGGGAAACCGAGUCUUAACUGGGCGUUAAGUUGCAGGGUAUAGACCCGAAACCCGGUGAUCUAGCCAUGGGCAGGUUGAAGGUUGGGUAACACUAACUGGAGGACCGAACCGACUAAUGUUGAAAAAUUAGCGGAUGACUUGUGGCUGGGGGUGAAAGGCCAAUCAAACCGGGAGAUAGCUGGUUCUCCCCGAAAGCUAUUUAGGUAGCGCCUCGUGAAUUCAUCUUCGGGGGUAGAGCACUGUUUCGGCUAGGGGGUCAUCCCGACUUACCAACCCGAUGCAAACUACGAAUACCGAAGAAUGUUAUCACGGGAGACACACGGCGGGUGCUAACGUCCGUCGUGAAGAGGGAAACAACCCAGACCGCCAGCUAAGGUCCCAAAGUCAUGGUUAAGUGGGAAACGAUGUGGGAAGGCACAGACAGCCAGGAUGUUGGCUUAGAAGCAGCCAUCAUUUAAAGAAAGCGUAAUAGCUCACUGGUCGAGUCGGCCUGCGCGGAAGAUGUAACGGGGCUAAACCAUGCACCGAAGCUGCGGCAGCGACACUAUGUGUUGUUGGGUAGGGGAGCGUUCUGUAAGCCUGCGAAGGUGUGCUGUGAGGCAUGCUGGAGGUAUCAGAAGUGCGAAUGCUGACAUAAGUAACGAUAAAGCGGGUGAAAAGCCCGCUCGCCGGAAGACCAAGGGUUCCUGUCCAACGUUAAUCGGGGCAGGGUGAGUCGACCCCUAAGGCGAGGCCGAAAGGCGUAGUCGAUGGGAAACAGGUUAAUAUUCCUGUACUUGGUGUUACUGCGAAGGGGGGACGGAGAAGGCUAUGUUAGCCGGGCGACGGUUGUCCCGGUUUAAGCAUGUAGGCUGGUUGUCCAGGCAAAUCCGGAUAAUCAAGGCUGAGGUGUGAUGACGAGGCACUACGGUGCUGAAGUAACAAAUGCCCUGCUUCCAGGAAAAGCCUCUAAGCAUCAGGUAACAUCAAAUCGUACCCCAAACCGACACAGGUGGUCAGGUAGAGAAUACCAAGGCGCUUGAGAGAACUCGGGUGAAGGAACUAGGCAAAAUGGUGCCGUAACUUCGGGAGAAGGCACGCUGGUGUGUAGGUGAAGUCCCUGCGGAUGGAGCUGAGACCAGUCGAAGAUACCAGCUGGCUGCAACUGUUUAUUAAAAACACAGCACUGUGCAAACACGAAAGUGGACGUAUACGGUGUGACGCCUGCCCGGUGCCGGAAGGUUAAUUGAUGGGGUUAUCCGUAAGGAGAAGCUCUUGAUCGAAGCCCCGGUAAACGGCGGCCGUAACUAUAACGGUCCUAAGGUAGCGAAAUUCCUUGUCGGGUAAGUUCCGACCUGCACGAAUGGCGUAAUGAUGGCCAGGCUGUCUCCACCCGAGACUCAGUGAAAUUGAACUCGCUGUGAAGAUGCAGUGUACCCGCGGCAAGACGGAAAGACCCCGUGAACCUUUACUAUAGCUUGACACUGAACAUUGAGCCUUGAUGUGUAGGAUAGGUGGGAGGCUUUGAAGCGUGGACGCCAGUCUGCGUGGAGCCAACCUUGAAAUACCACCCUUUAAUGUUUGAUGUUCUAACGUUGGCCCCUUACCGGGGUUGCGGACAGUGUCUGGUGGGUAGUUUGACUGGGGCGGUCUCCUCCCAAAGCGUAACGGAGGAGCACGAAGGUUAGCUAAUCCUGGUCGGACAUCAGGAGGUUAGUGCAAUGGCAUAAGCUAGCUUGACUGCGAGCGUGACGGCGCGAGCAGGUGCGAAAGCAGGUCAUAGUGAUCCGGUGGUUCUGAAUGGAAGGGCCAUCGCUCAACGGAUAAAAGGUACUCCGGGGAUAACAGGCUGAUACCGCCCAAGAGUUCAUAUCGACGGCGGUGUUUGGCACCUCGAUGUCGGCUCAUCACAUCCUGGGGCUGAAGUAGGUCCCAAGGGUAUGGCUGUUCGCCAUUUAAAGUGGUACGCGAGCUGGGUUUAGAACGUCGUGAGACAGUUCGGUCCCUAUCUGCCGUGGGCGCUGGAGAAUUGAGGGGGGCUGCUCCUAGUACGAGAGGACCGGAGUGGACGCAUCACUGGUGUUCGGGUUGUCAUGCCAAUGGCACUGCCCGGUAGCUAAAUGCGGAAGAGAUAAGUGCUGAAAGCAUCUAAGCACGAAACUUGCCCCGAGAUGAGUUCUCCCUGAGACUUUAAGUCUCCUGAAGGAACGUUGAAGACGACGACGUUGAUAGGCCGGGUGUGUAAGCGCAGCGAUGCGUUGAGCUAACCGGUACUAAUGAACCGUGAGGCUUAACCUUACAACGCCGAAG
rnacentral:rRNA from 1 species